AAUUGGUGUUUAUUGGCCUCAAGUUUGAAAUUCACUUAAACCAACAAAUAGUGUAUGAAGUUAUUUAUUUUCUUUCUAUGUUUUUUGAAGGGGAGACAUUUAUAUUGACUUUUGAACUCCACAGCCUAGGACCCUGUGUGGUGUAACGACCAACGUAACGCAACAAAGAAGCUCUAACAACCUCUUCAUAUGGAUAAACUGCUUGACAUUAAAACACAGUGAUCACAAUCAUUCUGCUGAACAUUUAUCAACAAAUUAUCAUGACAGGCGCACAGUCGGAUUUGCCGGCAUAUGUGCUAACCUUAUCCAAACCCCCAUUAAAACACGGACACAGGUUAUACUGUUGGAAAUAAUUCGUCCACAGCUUUA